UACGGGGGGAGCAAGCGUUGUUCGGAAUUACUGGGCGUAAAGGGCCAGUAGGCGGCCAACUAAGUCGGAUGUGAAAUCCCCAGGCUCAACUUGGGAACUGCAUCCGAUACUGGAUGGCUUGAAUUCGGGAGAGGGAUGCAGAAUUCCAGGUGUAGCGGUGAAAUGCGUAGAUAUCUGGAGGAAUACCGGUGGCGAAGGCGGCAUCCUGGACCGACAUUGACGCUGAACGGCGAAAGCUAGGGGAGCAAACGGG
rnacentral:rRNA from 1 species